AAAUACUACAUGAGUUUAAUUAAAAGGACAAAAAAGUAAUUAGAAUCUACUCGUAAUAACAAUUUAAAGAUCCGAGUCAUCCGACAAUUGACAUACAUGUCUUUAAUCUAGAUAAUUUUCCUCCAAUGUUUUCAAUUUUUUUCCUUUGGAAAUUUUCACAACAUACUCUGAGUUCUCCAUUGAAGCGGUUUUUUAGGCUUUCUCCCCUCCAUUGAAGCAGCUUCUGAGUUCAAAACCGUGGGUCCGCCAUCGACUAUGAUUUGUGAAAUUAAACAACAACAUGAGAAUUGCCCAUCUUUGGUUGGUGAUAAUGAUAAUGAUAUAGAUAACAAUAAAUUAUUUGGGGGAUCAAGAAGAAAAAGAGAAAAUUGGUUGGUGAAAUAUGGGUUGCAAUUGCCCGAACUGCCAAGUGAUAUUUCGGUUGAGAUAAUGGGGAAAUUGCCGAUUAAGCCUCUUUAUGGUUGCAAAUGUGUCUCCAAGGCAUGGCAUUCCAUGUGUCUCACGUUUUGACUACCCAAAAAGGAAUAGACCUUCCUCCUCAUGGUCUUUUGUUCAUGAUUUUGCAUUACACAUCUAUUGAUGAUGAUGAUUUUCAUGACCGAAACCGUACGUUUUACUUGGCUUUUUUGUCCCUUGUUGGUGACUACAAGUUAACUAAAUGGUCCCUUACUGAUUUUGAAACUGAAAGUGCUAUCGUGACUAUCGGUGACCACGAGAAUACCCACAAUGAUCAUGGUAGUGGUAGUGGGUUGUUGUUGGGGAACUUAACUUUAGAAUUCGGCACCUUGAUAAGCGUGAUCUCGAAAUACGGAAACGGAUGCUAUUGGAAUGUGCACAGGGGCUUAUUCCUUGGCGUCCUUGAUCCUCAUACUUAUGUAGUAUACAACCCUGCACCAAAGAGUCCUUUUACCUCUCUAGGCCUGCUACUGAAGCUUCCUUCAAGAAAGGCUCUCUGCUAGUAUUCAUCAUCAAUCUUACGGAUUGUCCUCUCUCAAUGGAAUGUAAUUUUAGGGUUCUCCGGUUUUUUAGGGUUUGUUCUGAGACAAAAGGGAUGGUAUUUGUUGAGGUUUAUUCUUCUAACAAGCGUGAAUGGUGUGUGUCCAAGUUCCGCCUCAAAAAGGCGGUCAUUUUAGAAAAAUGGGACGUGUCUAGUGGCGUGUUUGUUAACAACACUUUAUUUUUCUUGACGAACAAGAGGCAUGCUGUGGGAGUGCAAUUCCAUUCAAGCGGGCAAGUAAGCAGGCUUUACUCUUUACGCCUGCCAAGGCGUAUUACAAGGGGCUUUUGUGAAUCGAACUUGUGUGGAUCUCAGGGAUGUCUCUAUAUUUCCCACAAUAAGUCUCCUAAUCUAUGCAUUUGGAAACACACAGGAAGUUCAACACGCUCUGAUGCUUGGAUCCCACAACUUAUGUUCAAGAAAUCGGGUAUAUCUUUAUUCCCGCCAAAUGUUGGCACUUUUAUACGGCAAUGUGUGGCUGAUGAUGUAGAUACACUUCCAAUAAUCAUGCAUCCUGAGGCACCUGUUGUUUUCUUUUCUGUGCAUCGGUCUAUUUUUGCAAUCCAUCUAUUGAAUGAUACAGUUGAGAAGAUUGUUGAGCUGAAUGAGGGAGAAGUGCCUUUGUUGGGAACUCACUUCAUGUAUGCACCAUGCUUUGCCUCGUUCAAUUGUCUUAAGCCAGCAAAUCAAGAUCAUUGCAAGUAAUGUGCAGGCUCAUUACUGGGAUGUUUUCGAACCCUGGUUCUGAUGCUGCUAAGAAGUGAAGGCUGAGUCUUUUCUGUGGUUGCAUGAGAGAUAUUGGCUCCUAUGCCAUGGAUCCUUUCUGCCUUGUUUGAAGUUAGAAGUGAUACAAACAAGGAAGAGUGGACUGCUGGUUUGCUGGAAGGUGGAGGCAUGCAAACCUGUUGGUCGAAAUGAACUUUUUCAUGCAUCAUAUCUCAAGGUUUGAAGUCUGGCUUUCUAUUCGGUUGAUGAUUCAUAGAAUUUCCUAAUUUAUAUUUACCAAAAAAAAAAAGAAUUUCCUAAUUUACACCACUAAGACUUCCAAGGCUGAGUUGCUUGCUAGAAAUUAUAUAAUUUACUAUCAGGCUAAUCUAUAAGUAUUCAGUAACUCUUAGAAUACAUAGCUUGAUCAGUAGAUCUUAAGGACAGUGCUUGAUCAUUUGAACAUGUGGUGCAUCAAUGGCAUAGUUGAUGGUCUCAAGACUUAGAGUGGAUAAUUUAGAGAUGCUAUCUGUAAUUAAGUUGGUUUUGGGUGCAGAUUCUCUGGAUACUGACCAUAUGUCAGUCGGGUAUGAAACUGAUAUUAGUUAUACAAUCGAUAAGUAUUACAAGUACUGUAAGCCUGCACCAGGGUUGCAUAUACCCACCCUAUCAAGAUUGCUGUGGGUUGCAUAUACAAAUCUGUUUUCGUUUAGCUGUUGAUUUUCUUCAAAAAUGUAAAAAGAUGAAUGAGAAUUGCUCAGAUGCUUGCUACUAUAUUUCUGGUUUUUUUCAAGUUUUUUGUGGGAAAGUAUCAACUAUCAAGGUAUUAGGGCAUUUUGUGGGAAAGUACCUUGCUAAUAUUUCUUUGUGGGGAAGUACCAGAAUAUUUUUAUGUUUUGUUAUAUGGUUCCAGAUUAGUGAAUUCCGACGAAAAAGUUCACAAUCAUGCUUAAAGGGAACUUAAAUAGAAAGCAAAUCAAUCAUUUGUCAUAACACCCAUUAAAAAAAGCUAAGUUUCAGUAUUGUCAGAGCUUAAAAGGCAGCUAUGACGGGCUCAAAUAAUUUUCAGAAAAUAAUAAAUAAAUAUCUCACACUUUUGCAAUAUAAUUCUGAAUUUUGACAUUAUAACCCCUUAGUUUUCAAUUCUUGAGAUUCUAUAACAGUUAAAAAUGUUUUAUGAUUAAAAUCUAAGAGCUUUAGAAUCCAUAGCAAUAAAAUUACUAAAGUAAAGAUGAGAUUUCCAUUCAAGCCUCAAAGAGAAAACAUAGGCCUAAUGAAAAAGUCUUAAGCAGGGGAUACUUGGGCUAAGGAUAAUUAUAAUAAUCAUCACUUCUGCCACAAAUUAUGUCACGGAAUUCUAAUUUCGUGAAACUGCCAUGGAAAAGAGUUUCCACCACAACCAAACAGACCACAAAACUUUAUGCAACGAGUAAAAUAAUUUGGGGGCAAAUUAUGCUGUCAUGAAUUAUGCCUCGGGUAAACAUCAUUUUGACAAACAAACUACUAUGGGAAGUAUUCCAAUUUGUAGUAGUUUAUAAUUAUUGUAUGCAUCUAAAAGGGAAUCUACAACCUUUGAAAGUGAGAAGUUGCAAAGGAUUAGCAAAAUGAACACUGAUCCCCCGAAGGAAUAGUGACUUGACUUUUAUGCCCUAGCCUUUUUUUUUCUUCUUCGAAAUUGCCCUUCUGACUCUCUCUUUUCCCCCCUUUUUUGCUCGCCAUUACCUUUCUCUUUCCUUUGAAACGAACCUUCUCACUCCAUCUUCUCUUUAUCUCAUUUUCCUCCAUUAUUGAAGCAAGCUUGAGAGGUAAUUUGUUUUUCAAUCACCAUUUUGAAUAUGUGUGUUAAUUAUGUUAAUAAUGUGAGAUUAAUUAGGUUUAGAAUUGGGUUAUUUUUGUCUUGCAUGCGUACACUCCACUCUUUGUCUUCGGUUUUGUGUGCUUUGGUUUUCUUUGAUGGUUGAGGAAUAUGAAGAAAUUGAAGAUGAAGUAGAGGAAGAAGUAACGGAUGAUGAAGAUGAUGCAAUAAUGGCGGAAAAAGGUUCGAAUUUGGGUAAAGAGGAUGCGAAUCUGGCGGAACAAGAACAAUUCAACCUCGGACGAGUUGACUGAUGGAUGACUUGGUCAAUGACUUCUCAGGACUGGAUUCAUGGCCUUCACUCUUAAUGGUGAGGCGUGUAUGAAUGCCCAAGCAAUCAAGAAAUUUGUGGAGGAGAAUCGGAAAUCGGUGGCUAAAUGUGUGAAUUUAGCCAUUCAAUGUUCGAUUAUUCAUGUCCUUUCAAAUGUGAGAUGCAUUGAUUUGGAAUUACGGGUUUUUGUAGUGUGAGACGUGUAUUAGUGUUCGUAUUUAGCGAAUCAUUGUUCGAUUACUACAUACAUCAAUGUGAGAUGCUAUCGGAGUGAGAAUAAGGCUUUGGCUGUACAAGGUGUGUCUGAAAAGGUUGUGGGUGUUUUGGGAGGUGGGUAGCUUGGUUGCAUGUUAUGCCAAACUGCAUCAGAAAUGGCUAUCAAAGUAGCUAUUUUGGACCUUUCUGAGAACUGCCCUGCUUCUCCUUUUUCACAUUAUUAUAUGGUUGGGAGCUUUGAUGACAGUACCACAGUUGAGGAAUUUGCAAAGAGAUGUGGAGUUUUGACAGUGGAGAUUGAGCAUGUUGAUGUUGCCACACUUGAUAAGCUUGAACAACAAGGAGUUGAGUGCCAACCCAAAGCCUCUACCAUUAGGAUAAUCCAGGAUAAAUACCUUUAGAAGCUACAUUCUUCUUGACAUGGGAUCCCUUUGCCUGAGUUUAUGGAGGUGGGUAGUACCCUACUACCCUAUGAGAUAGAUAAUGAUGAAAGUGCAAGGAGUGCUGGAAUGCUAUUUGGUUAUCCUCUUAUGAUCAAGAGUAAAAGGCUUGCCUAUGAUGGGCGCGGUAAUGCUGUUGCUAAGUGUGAAGAAGAUCUCACUUCUGCAGUCAGUGCAUGAUACUGUCACUGGAGAUAUCAUCUUUGUCCUGCAUCAGAAAAAGCUACCUAAGUUUAAGCGAAAGGGCGUAAAUGCUUUAUUGUCUGAAAUUUUGCAGAUGCCUGCUCUUGGUCAGUACAAUGGUUCUAUGUAUCAAUCCUUCCAGAUCAAGUCGAAGUUUUGACGACUUUGAAAUUCCCACAAGCAAGCGAAAAUGACUAAUAGGGCUUGUGAUAUGCAAGAGAACAAUCUAUUGAAAAGUGUUGAUGUGGAAAAGGAUAGAAGUAAUUCUGUUGCAAAAAUCAAAGUUGUGGAUCCACAAGGAGUAAGAAAUGGAGAAGGAGCUGAGGGUGAUCGAUGCAACUAAUGACGAAAUGAAUAAUGAAUAAUCACCUGAAUAAUUACAAAUGCCUACUUUCUAAUUGUUCAUAUCGGCCAGUCAAAUGCCUACUGCAAAAAAACUGAAUUGAUUUAGAGGGAAUUGUUGAAAUUUCAUAUGUUCCAUCUAAUUUUUUUUUGGGUAUUUGUUUUCGGCUUUUUUGUUUAUAUAAAUUAUAUGUUUUUUACAUUUUUUUUUUGUUGUUAAAAACAAUGUGGAAAUGUAAUCGAUACUAAUGAAAGAUAUACUUUUUUUUUUUUUUUUUUU